CUUCAUGGUUUGUGGUUGAAAGUUCUGGCGGUUGGGGAUGGGCUCGCGGCCUAUCAGCUUGUUGGUGGGGUAAUGGCCUACCAAGGCUUCGACGGGUAGCCGGCCUGAGAGGGCGACCGGCCACACUGGGACUGAGACACGGCCCAGACCCCUACGGGAGGCAGCAGUGGGGAAUAUUGCGCAAUGGACGAAAGUCUGACGCAGCAACGCCGCGUGAGGGAUGACGGCCUUCGGGUUGUAAACCUCUUUCAGCAGGGACGAAGCGAGAGUGACGGUACCUGCAGAAGAAGGACCGGCCAACUACGUGCCAGCAGCCGCGGUAAUACGUAGGGUCCGAGCGUUGUCCGGAAUUAUUGGGCGUAAAGGGCUCGUAGGCGGUUCGUCACGUCGGGAGUGAAAACUCGGAGCUUAACUCCGAGCCUGCUUCCGAUACGGGCAGACUAGAGGUAGGCAGGGGAGAGCGGAACUCCUGGUGUAGCGGUGGAAUGCGCAGAUAUCAGGAAGAACACCGGUGGCGAAGGCGGCUCUCUGGGCCUUACCUGACGCUGAGGAGCGAAAGCGUGGGUAGCGAACAGGAUUAGAUACCCUGGUAGUCCACGCCGUAAACGUUGGGCGCUAGGUGUGGGGGACAUUCCACGUCCUCCGUGCCGCAGCUAACGCAUUAAGCGCCCCGCCUGGGGAGUACGGCCGCAAGGCUAAAACUCAAAGGAAUUGACGGGGGCCCGCACAAGCGGCGGAGCAUGCGGAUUAAUUCGAUGCAACGCGAAGAACCUUACCUGGGUUUGACAUAUAGGGAAAUCUCGCAGAGAUGCGGGGUCCGUAAGGGUCCUAUACAGGUGGUGCAUGGCUGUCGUCAGCUCGUGUCGUGAGAUGUUGGGUUAAGUCCCGCAACGAGCGCAACCCUCGUCCUAUGUUGCCAGCACGUUAUGGUGGGGACUCAUAGGAGACUGCCGGGGUCAACUCGGAGGAAGGUGGGGAUGACGUCAAGUCAUCAUGCCCCUUAUGUCCAGGGCUUCACGCAUGCUACAAUGGCCGGUACAAAGGGCUGCGAAACUGCAAAGUGGAGCGAAUCCCAAAAAGCCGGUCUCAGUUCGGAUUGGGGUCUGCAACUCGACCCCAUGAAGUCGGAGUCGCUAGUAAUCGCAGAUCAGCAACGCUGCGGUGAAUACGUUCCCGGGCCUUGUACACACCGCCCGUCACGUCAUGAAAGUCGGCAACACCCGAAGCCGGUGGCCUAACCCUUGUGGAGGGAGCCGUCGAAGGUGGGGCUGGCGAUUAGGACGAAGUCGUAACAAGGUA
rnacentral:rRNA from 1 species